rnacentral:rRNA from 1 species
GACGAACGCUGGCGGCGUGCUUAACACAUGCAAGUCGAACGGUGAAGCGCUGUCCUUGUGGGGUGGUCGGGAGGCGAGCGGGUGAGUAAAACGAGAGGAACGUGCCCUUGACUCUGGGAUAACAUAAGGGAACUGGAGUGUAUACCGUACAGGAGAUCCUGCUGCAUUGGGGUGGUUGGUAAGUUACGGCGGUUGUGGAUGUACGCGCGGCUUAUCAGCUUGUUGGUGGGGUAGUGGGGUACGAGGGCUUCGACGGGUAGCCGGCCUGAGAGGGUGACCGGCCACGUUGGGACUGAGAAGCGGCCCAGAGUCCUACGGGAGGCAGCAGUGGGGAAUAGUGCACAAUGGGCGGAAGGCGGAUGCAGCAGCGCCGCGUGCGGGAUGACGGCCUUUGGGGUGUAAACCGCUUUCGCCUGUGACGAAGCGUGAGUGACGGUAAUGGGUAAAGAAGCACCGGCUAACUACGUG